UUAAGCGACUAAGCGUACACGGUGGAUGCCCUGGCAGUCAGAGGCGAUGAAGGACGUGCUAAUCUGCGAAAAGCGUCGGUAAGGUGAUAUGAACCGUUAUAACCGGCGAUGUCCGAAUGGGGAAACCCAGUGUGAUUCGUCACACUAUCGUUAACUGAAUACAUAGGUUAACGAGGCGAACCGGGGGAACUGAAACAUCUAAGUACCCCGAGGAAAAGAAAUCAACCGAGAUUCCCCCAGUAGCGGCGAGCGAACGGGGAGCAGCCCAGAGUCUGAAUCAGCUUGUGUGUUAGUGGAACGGUCUGGAAAGUCCGACGGUACAGGGUGAUAGUCCCGUACACCAAAAUGCACAGGCUGUGAACUCGAAGAGUAGGGCGGGACACGUGGUAUCCUGUCUGAAUAUGGGGGGACCAUCCUCCAAGGCUAAAUACUCCUGACUGACCGAUAGUGAACCAGUACCGUGAGGGAAAGGCGAAAAGAACCCCGGCGAGGGGAGUGAAAAAGAACCUGAAACCGUGUACGUACAAGCAGUGGGAGCACCUUCGGGUGUGACUGCGUACCUUUUGUAUAAUGGGUCAGCGACUUAUAUUCUGUAGCAAGGUUAACCGUAUAGGGGAGCCGCAGGGAAACCGAGUCUUAACUGGGCGUUAAGUUGCAGGGUAUAGACCCGAAACCCGGUGAUCUAGCCAUGGGCAGGUUGAAGGUUGGGUAACACUAACUGGAGGACCGAACCGACUAAUGUUGAAAAAUUAGCGGAUGACUUGUGGCUGGGGGUGAAAGGCCAAUCAAACCGGGAGAUAGCUGGUUCUCCCCGAAAGCUAUUUAGGUAGCGCCUCGUGAACUCAUCUUCGGGGGUAGAGCACUGUUUCGGCUAGGGGGUCAUCCCGACUUACCAACCCGAUGCAAACUACGAAUACCGGAGAAUGUUAUCACGGGAGACACACGGCGGGUGCUAACGUCCGUCGUGAAGAGGGAAACAACCCAGACCGCCAGCUAAGGUCCCAAAGUCAUGGUUAAGUGGGAAACGAUGUGGGAAGGCACAGACAGCCAGGAUGUUGGCUUAGAAGCAGCCAUCAUUUAAAGAAAGCGUAAUAGCUCACUGGUCGAGUCGGCCUGCGCGGAAGAUGUAACGGGGCUAAACCAUGCACCGAAGCUGCGGCAGCGACACUAUGUGUUGUUGGGUAGGGGAGCGUUCUGUAAGCCUGCGAAGGUGACCUGUGAGGGUUGCUGGAGGUAUCAGAAGUGCGAAUGCUGACAUAAGUAACGAUAAAGCGGGUGAAAAGCCCGCUCGCCGGAAGACCAAGGGUUCCUGUCCAACGUUAAUCGGGGCAGGGUGAGUCGACCCCUAAGGCGAGGCCGAAAGGCGUAGUCGAUGGGAAACAGGUUAAUAUUCCUGUACUUGGUGUUACUGCGAAGGGGGGACGGAGAAGGCUAUGUUAGCCGGGCGACGGUUGUCCCGGUUUAAGCAUGUAGGCUGGUUGUCCAGGCAAAUCCGGAUAAUCAAGGCUGAGGUGUGAUGACGAGGCACUACGGUGCUGAAGUAACAAAUGCCCUGCUUCCAGGAAAAGCCUCUAAGCAUCAGGUAACAUCAAAUCGUACCCCAAACCGACACAGGUGGUCAGGUAGAGAAUACCAAGGCGCUUGAGAGAACUCGGGUGAAGGAACUAGGCAAAAUGGUGCCGUAACUUCGGGAGAAGGCACGCUGGUGUGUAGGUGAAGUCCCUGCGGAUGGAGCUGAGACCAGUCGAAGAUACCAGCUGGCUGCAACUGUUUAUUAAAAACACAGCACUGUGCAAACACGAAAGUGGACGUAUACGGUGUGACGCCUGCCCGGUGCCGGAAGGUUAAUUGAUGGGGUUAUCCGUAAGGAGAAGCUCUUGAUCGAAGCCCCGGUAAACGGCGGCCGUAACUAUAACGGUCCUAAGGUAGCGAAAUUCCUUGUCGGGUAAGUUCCGACCUGCACGAAUGGCGUAAUGAUGGCCAGGCUGUCUCCACCCGAGACUCAGUGAAAUUGAACUCGCUGUGAAGAUGCAGUGUACCCGCGGCAAGACGGAAAGACCCCGUGAACCUUUACUAUAGCUUGACACUGAACAUUGAGCCUUGAUGUGUAGGAUAGGUGGGAGGCUUUGAAGCGUGGACGCCAGUCUGCGUGGAGCCAACCUUGAAAUACCACCCUUUAAUGUUUGAUGUUCUAACGUUGGCCCCUGACCGGGGUUGCGGACAGUGUCUGGUGGGUAGUUUGACUGGGGCGGUCUCCUCCCAAAGCGUAACGGAGGAGCACGAAGGUUAGCUAAUCCUGGUCGGACAUCAGGAGGUUAGUGCAAUGGCAUAAGCUAGCUUGACUGCGAGCGUGACGGCGCGAGCAGGUGCGAAAGCAGGUCAUAGUGAUCCGGUGGUUCUGAAUGGAAGGGCCAUCGCUCAACGGAUAAAAGGUACUCCGGGGAUAACAGGCUGAUACCGCCCAAGAGUUCAUAUCGACGGCGGUGUUUGGCACCUCGAUGUCGGCUCAUCACAUCCUGGGGCUGAAGUAGGUCCCAAGGGUAUGGCUGUUCGCCAUUUAAAGUGGUACGCGAGCUGGGUUUAGAACGUCGUGAGACAGUUCGGUCCCUAUCUGCCGUGGGCGCUGGAGAAUUGAGGGGGGCUGCUCCUAGUACGAGAGGACCGGAGUGGACGCAUCACUGGUGUUCGGGUUGUCAUGCCAAUGGCACUGCCCGGUAGCUAAAUGCGGAAGAGAUAAGUGCUGAAAGCAUCUAAGCACGAAACUUGCCCCGAGAUGAGUUCUCCCUGAGACUUUAAGUCUCCUGAAGGAACGUUAAAGACGAUGACGUUGAUAGGCCGGGUGUGUAAGCGCAGCGAUGCGUUGAGCUAACCGGUACUAAUGAACCGUGAGGCUUAACCUU
rnacentral:rRNA from 1 species